rnacentral:rRNA from 1 species
GAUGAACGCUGGCGGCGUGCUUAACACAUGCAAGUCGAACGGAAAGGCCGAAGCUUGCUUCGGUACUCGAGUGGCGAACGGGUGAGUAACACGUGGGUGAUCUGCCCUGUACUUCGGGAUAAGCUUGGGAAACUGGGUCUAAUACCGGAUAUGACAAUCUCUUGGAUGGGGUUGUGGAAAGCUUUUGCGGUAUGGGAUGAGCUCGCGGCCUAUCAGCUUGUUGGUGGGGUAAUGGCCUACCAAGGCGUCGACGGGUAGCCGGCCUGAGAGGGUGUACGGCCACAUUGGGACUGAGAUACGGCCCAGACUCCUACGGGAGGCAGCAGUGGGGAAUAUUGCACAAUGGGCGCAAGCCUGAUGCAGCGACGCCGCGUGGGGGAUGACGGCCUUCGGGUUGUAAACUCCUUUCGCAACCGACGAAGCUUUUGUGACGGUAGGUUGAGAAGAAGCACCGGCUAACUACGUG